rnacentral:rRNA from 1 species
UGCCGGCGACCGGCGCACGGGUGAGUAACACGUAUGCAACCUGCCCUCCGCAGGGGGAUAACCCGGAGAAAUCCGGACUAAUACCGCGUGGUACAUCUGUGGGGCAUCCCACGGGUGUUAAAAGGAAGCGAUUCCGGCGGAGGAUGGGCACGCGGCGCAUUAGCUAGUUGGCGGGGUAACGGCCCACCAAGGCGACGAUGCGUAGGGGUUCUGAGAGGAAGGUCCCCCACACUGGUACUGAGACACGGACCAGACUCCUACGGAAGGCAGCAG